CAGUCGCCACGGGAAUACGUAGGGUGCAAGCGUUAAUCGGAAUUACUGGGCGUAAAGCGUGCGCAGGCGGUUUGUUAAGACAGAUGUGAAAUCCCCGGGCUCAACCUGGGAACUGCAUUUGUGACUGGCAGGCUAGAGUAUGGCAGAGGGGGGUGGAAUUCCGCGUGUAGCAGUGAAAUGCGUAGAUAUGCGGAGGAACACCGAUGGCGAAGGCAGCCCCCUGGGCCAAUACUGACGCUCAUGCACGAAAGCGUGGGGAGCAAACAGGAUUAGAUACCCGGGUAGUCCCUGUCUCUUAUAC
rnacentral:rRNA from 1 species